UACGUAGGGUGCGAGCGUUGUCCGGAAUUAUUGGGCGUAAAGAGCUCGUAGGCGGUUUGUUGCGUCGGCCGUGAAAACCUGCAGCUUAACUGUGGGCCUGCGGCCGAUACGGGCAGACUUGAGUUCGGUAGGGGAGACUGGAAUUCCUGGUGUAGCGGUGAAAUGCGCAGAUAUCAGGAGGAACACCGGUGGCGAAGGCGGGUCUCUGGGCCGAUACUGACGCUGAGGCACGAAAGCGUGGGGAGCAAACAGG
rnacentral:rRNA from 1 species